GACCACUCCUUCAGGAGUCAAGGCCAUACGGACAGCCGGGUCCACUGCCGA
rnacentral:sRNA from 1 species